GACGAACGCUGGCGGCGUGCCUAAUACAUGCAAGUAGAACGCGGACGGAAGGAGCUUGCUCUUACUGGUUGAGUUGCGAACGGGUGAGUAACGCGUAGGUAACCUGCCUGGUAGCGGGGGAUAACUAUUGGAAACGAUAGCUAAUACCGCAUAAAAUUGAUUAUUUCAUGAUACUCAAUUAAAAGGUGCAACUGCACCACUACCAGAUGGACCUGAGUUGUAUUAGCUAGCUGGUGGGGUAACGGCUCACCAAGGCGAGGAUACAUAGCCGACCUGAGAGGGGGAUCGGCAAAGCUGGGACUGGGGCACGGCCCGGAAUCCUGCGAGAGGGAGAAGUAGGGGAUUCUCGGCAAUGGAAGGAAGUCUGAACGAGGGACGACGGGUGAGAGAAGGAGGUUUUCAGGUCGUGAGAGUGUGUUAGGAGAGAAGAACGAAUGUGAGAGUGGAAAGUGCACAUUAUGACGGUACCUGAACAGAAAGGGACGGCUAACUACGUG
rnacentral:rRNA from 1 species